rnacentral:rRNA from 1 species
AAUAAACGUUGGCGGUGCGCUUUAUGCAUGCAAGUCGAACGAGGUUAUGGUCUUCGGAUUGUAAUCUAGUGGCGAAAGGCUGAGUAACGCGUAAGUAACUUAUCUUGGAGUGGGGAAUAAACUGCCGAAAGGCAGCUUAAUACCGCAGUAGUAGUCAAGCGAUGCCUGACUAUUAAAGCUUUACGGCGCUCUGAGAGGGGCUUGCGUCUGAUUAGCUAGUUGGUGGGAUAACGGCCUACCAAGGCAAUGAUCAGUAGCUGGUCUGAGAGGAUGGUCAGCCAGAUGGGGACUGAGACACUGCCCCAACUCCUAUGGGAGGCAGCAGCAAGGAAUAUUGGGCAAUGGGCGAAAGCCUGACCCAGCGACACCGCGUGAGGGAAGAAGGCCUUCGGGUUGUAAACCUCUUUUCUUGGGGAAGAAUUCUGACGGUACCCAAGGAAUAAGCCUCGGCAAACUACGUGCCAGCAGCCGCGGUAAUACGUAGGAGGCGAACGUUAUUCGGAUUUACUGGGCGUAAAGAGAGCGUAGGCGGCUUCUCAAGUCAGGUGUGAAAUCUUUUGACUCAAUCAGAAGGCAUUACCUGAUACUAAGGGGCUUGAGGGCAGCAGAAGGAAAUGGAAUUCCCAGUGUAGCGGUGAAAUGCGUAGAUAUUGGGGAGAACACCAGUGGCGAAGGCGAUUUCCUAGGUUGUUUCUGACGCUGAGGCUCGAAAGCGUGGGGAGCGAAGCGGAUUAGAUACCCGCGUAGUCCACGCCGUAAACGGUGGACACUAGAUAUAGGAGGUAUCGACCCUUUCUGUGUCGAAGCUAACGCUUUAAGUGUCCCGCCUGGGGAGACGGCCGCAAGGCU